CCUAUCAACUUUCGACGGCUGGGUCUUGGCCAGCCGUGGUGACAACGGGUAACGGAGGGUUAGGGCUCGACCCCG
rnacentral:rRNA from 1 species